rnacentral:rRNA from 1 species
GAGUUUGAUCAUGGCUCAGAACGUACGCUGGCGGCACGCCUAACACAUGCAAGUCGAACGCAGUAGCAAUACUGAGUGGCAAACGGGUGAGUAUAAUGUGGGAAUUUGCCUUUUGGUUUGGAAUAACACGGGGAAACUUGUGCUAAUACCGAAUAAGCCCUUACGGGGAAAGUUUUAGCGCCGAAAGAUGAGCCUGCACUUGAUUAGCUAGUUGGUAAGGUAAAAGCUUACCAAGGCAACGAUCAAUAGCUGUUCUUAGAGGAAGACCAGCCACAUUGGGACUGAGACACGGCCCAGACUCCUACGGGAGGCAGCAGUGGGGAAUCUUGCACAAUGGGGGAAACCCUGAUGCAGCGAUGCCGCGUGAGUGAAGAAGGCCUUUGGGUUGUAAAACUCUUUCGUCGGGGAAGAAAAUGACUGUACCCGAAUAAGAAGGUCCGGCUAACUUCGUGCCAGCAGCCGCGGUAAUACGAAGGGACCUAGCGUAGUUCGGAAUUACUGGGCUUAAAGAGCUCGUAGGUGGUUAAAAAAGUUGAUGGUGAAAUCCCAAGGCUCAACCUUGGAACUGCCAUCAAAACUUUUUAGCUAGAGUGUGAUAGAGGUAAGUGGAAUUUCUAGUGUAGAGGUGAAAUUCGUAGAUAUUAGAAAGAACACCAAAUGCGAAGGCAACUUACUGGGUCACUACUGACACUGAGGAGCGAAAGCAUGGGUAGCGAAGAGGAUUAGAUACCCUCGUAGUCCAUGCCGUAAACGAUGUGUGCUAGACGUUGGAAAUAUAUUUUUCAGUGUCGCAGCGAAAGCAUUAAGCACACCGCCUGGGGAGUACGACCGCAAGGUUAAAACUCAAAUGAAUUGACGGGGACCCGCUCAAGCAGUGGAGCAUGUGGGUUUAAUUCGAAGAUACGCGCAGAACCUUACCACACUUGACAUGUUCGUCGCGAGACUAAGAGAUAGUCUUUUCAGUUCGNCUGGACGAAAACACNGNGCUGCAUGGCUGUCGUCAGCUCG